GAUGAAGAACGCAGCGAAAUGCGAUAAGUAAUGUGAAUUGCAGAAUUCAGUGAAUCAUCGAGUCUUUGAACGCACAUUGCGCCCCCUGGUAUUCCGGGGGGCAUGCCUGUCCGAGCGUCAUUGCCGCCCUCAAGCACGGCUUGUGUGUUGGGCCCCCGCCCCCCGGCUUCGGGGGGCGGGCCCGAAAGGCAGCGGCGGCACCGCGUCCGGUCCUCGAGCGUAUGGGGCUUCGUCACCCGCUCUGUAGGCCCGGCCGGCGCCCGCCGGCGACCCCAAUCAAUCUUUCCAGGUUGACCUCGGAUCAGGUAGGGAUACCCGCAGAACUUAAGCAUAUCAAUAAGCGGAGGA
rnacentral:misc_RNA from 1 species